rnacentral:lncRNA from 1 species
GUAUUCGCAAGUGACAUUUUCACUCAUCUAAUGACCCAUUUUAACUGUGCCAUGUUCUCCGCUCUCUCGAGUGGAGUGGAAUAAACAGAAUUAAGAGUUAAAGAGGGAUUAAAUGGCAUGCAGAUGGUAUAGAAAGGAAAAGAAAAACAAGGCAAUAAAACAAAAAAGACACGAUGAUAAACAAAAGUUGCAAGGACCAAGAUGGAUCAAUUGACAUGGCAAUGGUGAGAAGUGGAGUAAUAAAAGAUAAAACAAAGGAAGGAUGGGAAGAAGAAAAUACUUAGUUCUUGGGGGGAAGAAAGAACAAGAGAUAUAAUGGGAAUCACCAUGCUUUGGAUGUGGUAUGCCAGUAGACGAGAAGAGGAGCACGAGUCUCUCUUUUAAGAAGCCAGCGGCCCCCUUUCAAAGAGAAGAGAAACCUUUGGUAACCCAUGUAUAUUUCAAAUACCUUUCAUCGCCGAAGUCAAACUUACAAGGGAACAUCACACCCGAUGUGUCUGGGGUUUUGCCGAUGUUUUGUCGUCUGAAGGAGCAUGAAGAGUGGAUGAGGC